UAUGUAGAAGUUCCCAAGCCAGGGAUCAAACCUGAGCCACUACAGUGACACCAGAUCCUUAACUCACUGCACCACAAGGGAACUCCAUGAUUGUUCUUAAUGGCAUCUUAAAUGGUGAAUUCUUUCAAGAAGUUUUGCAAUUUACUUUUCCAGAUCCAUCAGAGGAAUCACUAUGUACAGCAGCUAUAGCCUUAUGAAAUUAUAUUUCUUAAAUAAUAAGACUUGAUAGUUGAAAUUACUCCUUGAUCCAUGGGCUACAAAAAUGGACAGUUAGCAGGCAUGAAAACAACAUUAAUCUCAUUACACAUCUCCUUCAGAGCUCAUGGGUGACUAGAUGCAUUGUCAAUGAGCAGUAAUAUUUCUAAAAGAAUAUUUUUUUUGAGCAGUAGGUCUCAGUCAUGGGCUUAAAAUAGUAAAUCGUGUUAUAAUUAUAUGUGCUGGAAUUUGGGCUUUAUUGUUUCAUUUCCAGAGCAUAGACAGAGUAGAAUUAGGGGGUCACUGGAUAUUCAAAAUGGUAAAUGAGCACCAGCUUCAACUUCAAGUCACCACCUACACUAGCCUCUAACAAGAGUCUGUCUGUCCUUUGAAGCCAGGCAUGACUUCUCCUCUCUAGUUAUGAAAGUCCCAGAUGGUAUCUUCCUCCAAUAUAAGCCUGUUUUGUUUACAUGAAAAUUUCUUGUAGCCAUCUUCAUUAAUUAUCUUAGCUAGAUUUUCUGGAAAUUUUGCCACAGCUUCUAUUAUCAACUCUUGCUGCUUCACCUUGUACUUUUAUAUUAUGGAGACAUUUUAAAUUUUAUGUUAAAUCUCAUACCAGCCUCUGCUGGCUUUAAGCUUUUCUUCUGCAGCUUCCACACCUCUCUCAGCUUUCAUGGAAUUGAAGAUGGUUAAAGCCUUGCUCUGACUUUGACUGGAGGGCAUGUUAUGGCUGGUUUGAUCCUCUAUCUGGACCACUAAAACUUUCUCCACAUCAACAAUAAAGCUGUUUCACUUUCUUGUCAUUUGUGUGUUCACUGGAGUAGCAUUUUUUUGGGGGGUGGGGGGCUGCACUUGAGGCAUGCAGAAGUUUCCAGACUAGGGAUCGAACCUGCUCUAUGGCAGUAACCAGAGCCACAGCAGUGACAACACUAGAUCCUUCAUAUGCUAAGCCACCAGGGAACUCCUGGAGUAGCACUUUUAAUUUCUUUCCAGAACAUUUCCUUUGUAUUCACAACUUGGUUAACUGGUGAAAGAGGCCUAGCUUUUGGCCUAUCUUAGCUUUCCCUGUGCCUUUCUCACUAAGCUUAAUCAUUUCUAGCUUUUAAUUUAAAGUGAGAAAUAUGUGACUCUUCCUUUCACUUGAACACUUAGAGACUAUUCUGAGGUUAUUAACUGGCCUAAUUUCAAUAUUGUUGUGUCUUAGGGAACAGGAAGGCCCAAGGAGAGAGAGAGACAGAGGGAACAUUUAUCGGUUAAGCCUACCAUCUUAUAUGAGCAUGGCUCGUGACUCCCCAAAAUAACUGCAAUACUAACAUCAAGGAUCACUGAUCAUAAAUCACCAUAACAAAUGUAAUAAUAAUUUUAAAAAAAAGCUUGAAAUACUGCGUAAUUACAAAAAUCGACACAGAGACAAGAGAUGAGCAAAUGCUGUUGGAAAAAAAUGACACCAAUCGACUUGCUCAAUGAAGGGUUGCCACAGACCUUCAAUUUGUAAAAAACAGUAUUGACAAAGCACAAUAAAACAAGAUAUGCCUGUAUGUGGGAAAUCUCUGUACUUUCCUAUUUCAUUACACCUAAAGCUGCUCUUUAAAUGCCUUUUUAAAAAGAAGAAGAACGAUGAGAGAUAAGGAAAGGAAAGAGAAAGAGGGCACAUAUACAGAAGGCUACAGUCCUCAUUUACACAAAUGGCCAAGAAGCCAUAGUGGAAUUUUUUUUUCUUCCUUUUUAGGGCCACACCCAUGGCAUAUGGAAGUUUCCAGGCUAGGGGUCGAAUAGGAGCUGCAGCUGCCGGCCUACACCACAACCACAACAACUGUGGGAUCAGAGCAGCGUCUGCAACCUACACCACAGCUCAUAGCAAUGCUGGAUCCCCGACCCACUAAGUGAGGCCAGGGAUUGAACCCACAUCCUUAUGGACCCUAGUCAGAUUCGUUUCCACUGCGCCACGAAGGGAACUACCCCCACAGCAGACAUUUUAACUCCCCUCCUCUACUCAUUUAAGCUAUGGUUGCCUUUGCCCAGUGUAAGUCAGUUAAAGAUCUUUUCCUGGACAAGUGACUCAAAUUUUGAUUCCUGAGGUAUCCUAGCCUGCUUUAUUUUUUGAAACUUAAUAACUGGGCAUGUAAAAGGAAGAUUCUAGACUCUGUGUAAACCUCACUUAUAGCAGUUAACUCUAAUUUACCUUUGAUAACCACUGCCAAUAACAUCAACCAAUACUAGAAGCCUAAUUUCUCUAGCUGUGAAUUGCGUUUUUUGACUGAUCACAAUGUUUUAUGAAACAUAGCAAUAGUACCAAAAAAAAAAAAAGGCAUUCAAUGAUUACACAGAUUAUAUCAAUGGUAGAAUUAUGACAAAAAAAGAAAUGGCAAAUAAUACAGAUUAAAUGUCAGUUUUAAUAAUUAAGAAAUGUUUUCCCCAAGGCUUCCAGAUAAAGAUGGCAAGUUCAACAUAAUAAUUCAAUUUCACUUCCUCUGAAAUUCCACUAAAACCACAGUAAAGGUAUAUUUUUAAAACCCAUAAACUCAUAAAUCCAGAAAGAAGAGAAAAGGAGACAACAGCAAUAAAACUGUGGACACUGGAAUGCAGAAAAAGUGACUUCGAAUAUAGUGGGAAAAGCCAAGAACUAAGUUGAUGUGUAUCACAGAUUCUUCCAAAGGCUCAGGAGCUAAGUGGACUUCCAGAAGUGGGAGGUGGGGAGUAGUAAGAAGGAAUAUUAAAUAAGCAAUGAUAGAAUACAGGUAUGUUUUGGGGGUUCUUUUGGUCUUUUUAAGGGCCUACCCCCAGCAUAUGGAAGUUCCCAGGCUAGGGGUUGAAUCAGAGCUGUAGCUGCUGGCCUGCACCACACCCACAGCCACAAUAAUGUGGAUCCGAGCUGCAUCUGCCACCAACACCACAGCUCACAGCUCACAGUGGAUCCUUAACCCACUGAGCAGGGCCAGGGAUCCAACCCGCGUCGUCAUGGAUAUUAAUCAGGUUUGUUACCUCUGAGCCACAAUGGGAACUCCAUGAAUGCAGUUUUAAAAUACAUUCCCCACCCCUAGAGGAGUGCUGGCUGGGCUUGGUGACUUUCUUCCAAAAAACAGGGUAUGGAAAGAAAGAUACAAGUAACUAGAGAAACCAGAGACACCACUUUAGCCAAGUGAGCACUCAGGGUUAAGGUCACCAGUCAUAAGUCGUGUUGCUGUCAUGGACUCCUGAUAGGGUACAAUGAAAAAGGCAGUUCUUCCCUGUGACUUUCUUCCUCCAUAUUCCUGAUGUAAUCAUGGCAAACCCAAACAUUAGGCAAACUCAAAUUGAAGGACAGCCUAUAAACUACCUGACCAGGACUCUUCAAAACCGCCAAGACCAUGGAAGACAAAGAAAAAACUGUCACAGCUUGGAGACCAAGGGAGCAUGAUUACUGAAUGCAGUGUAAUAUCCUGAAACAGAGAAAGGGAACUGGCGAAAAAACUGUUGAAAUCCAAAUAAAGUCUGCGGUGAUGUUUUCACAGUGUUGCACUCACGGCAAUUUCUUGGUUUUGGUAAAUGCCGCUGGAUUAUGGAAGAUAUUACCAUUCAGGGAAGCUUGGGGAAGAGUAUACCCAAGCCUGUACCAUCUUUGCAAAUUUUUGUAAAUCAAAAUUAUUUCAAAAUAAAAAAAUUUUAAAUAUUAAAAAAAAAGAAAAGGAGCUAGAGUGCUAGCUCCCCUCCCUCAUGGUAUUAACUCCUACAGAAAACUGGAACUGGUG
rnacentral:lncRNA from 1 species